rnacentral:tRNA from 1 species
GGGGUUGUAGCUCAAUUGGUAGAGCACUACAAUGGCAUUGUAGAGGUCAGGGGUUCGAUUCCCCUCGGCUCCACCA